CCUAACGCCUAAGACAGACCCGCGUUUUUUGACCUUAACAGAAGCCUCCCCCUGAACAUCUUCUUCUUCAUCUUACCCCUAUCUUUUCAUCUCCAGCAAAGAACCCACACACAACACCAACCAGUGACAACUCCAAAAAUCAGACCCCCCACCCAGUUCUUCUUCUUCAACAAGCAGAAGCCGUUUCUGGAAAAGGAAGGCAUUCUAACCUAGACUACACACAAUAUCAUCAACGGCUUUCCCUAUUCUCUAGAACAAAUCAACAGAAGACACAAAAAUCCUAGACCUAAAAACCUAAAAAAGCGAAAGGAGCUGCCAUAGGAAUGUAUGGAAUAUUUGUUAUUUCUGCUUGCACUUGACUUUUUCGACUCCAAAUCCUUUCCGUAAAAUGGAGAUAGGGACUUGUUGUCUUGCUUGAACGACCUCAUUUUUGGUAUUUUUGCUAGAUUUUUUCUUUGCAGUUGGAUUGCUGACUAAUCUGCUGCCACAACAGUCAAUUUGCACAAAUAUUCGAUUAUAUGACCCCUUGUAUUUCGCUGCUCUUUCCUCUCUUUACCAUAAUCUAUCGGAACACACACACAUAGUCACGCACACGAACAGAUUUUCGAAACAUGGAGUUUAAUUGAAGUCUGGAAUCAUUUCUAAGUUUGAGUCAUGUGGAGGUUGCCGUUGAAGGUUUAAGACCGAAAUUCCGGUUCGGUUUGUGCUGAUUUCGUUAGAAGCCGUGUCGAUGUCCGGUUGUAAUUGUUGCUUCAUUUCAGUCCGAGUAAUUGUCGCAACUCAAUUAAAUCGAUGUUUGAUUGGAAAGCUGAAUUUUCUCACUCACACCAGGCCUGACAUCUCCUUUGCAGUGCAACACUAAAGUCAGUUCAUGCAGUAGGCCUGCAUUCCUCACAUGCAAGCAGCUCUGCACCUGCUUAGAUAUCUUAAAGGUAACCUCUGAUUUUGGUAUAUUUCUGAAUGAUUAUCCUGAUUUUCUUUGAGUGUUUACUAUGACCGUGAUUGGGGGGCCUGUCCAAAUAGCAGGAAGUCAAAUGAUUCAGUUGUCUUAUACCUCUAGUGCCACUAAAUUUGCUGAUAUGUUUACUAAGCCCUUGACAGGGGCUGUUCAUCAUGUCCAUCUUCACAAGUUGGGGGUUCUCUCACCCUCCAACUUGCUGGGGGUAUUGAGAUUAGUGCAAAUGGUGUUACAUAAUAUCUUUGGUUAGUAGUAGUAUCUUAGUAGUAGUAUUAGUAGCAGUAUUAAGUCAUUCUUUGUUCAUUCUUUGUAUUGGCCUCGAAGCCCACUUUGUAUUUAUUAAGCAAAGUAGUAGUUUAGAGUUUGGGCCAGACGGGUCGUAUAUAUAGAGAAGCCCAUAUGUGUUGUAGACGGGAUUUUCAUUUUAUUUUUAUUCUUGCCAGUAAUAAGAAAAGCCCCAAUUUCUCUCUCUAAA